CCAGCAAGGCAUCCACCUAAAUCUCACCCUGGGGGUUCCAAAUGAUCGAGUACCAUUGCAAAUUUUUGCCAAGCCAAAUCCUUCGCAGCACCGUGCCACGCCCAUGCCGGCACCCCUGCGACAUGCUUGCGAAUAAGUCCCUGACAAUUCUCCUCGACUCAAGCUGUCGACGUCCUCGUCGACGUCCAAGCCACUACUUGAACAUUAGUCACCACAGCCAAAUUUCCACUGCAGUAACUGAAAAUAUGGUUCCUCAAGUCAGAGACCCACGGUCUUGAUGUCCUUGAUCCUUUCUCCACCACUGAGAAUCCAUCAUCCACACCACACUG
rnacentral:lncRNA from 1 species